GCGGCGGUGCUGGUGGGCGCGUACCUCCUAUGGCCCGUCGCUGGUCCGGCGGCGGUGGUCAUCAUGAAGGCCCCGGGCGCGGUGGGGUUCAUGAUCUCGCGCGCGGCGUUCCUCGCCAACCCGCAGCUCUACUUCGAGCUGCUUUGCACGGCCGGCGCUGCUGCGGCGGCUGCCGCCUUCGCCGCCUAG
rnacentral:rRNA from 1 species